UCUAGAACUCGAGAUAUGGGCUGAACACUGAACAGUGUCUGGGCUGCAGGACAAAUUCGGACUUCUUUGUUGUUGCUACAAUUUGGACUUGAAAACGGCCUUGUUAAAUCUUGGGCUCCCAUGAAAGUUGUAGGCCUAUGUCUUAUCUUUCCAUC
rfam:Populus trichocarpa scaffold_6_contig_146, whole genome shotgun sequence.